UGAAAGCUAUUUCAGAAACAUAACAUUUCAGAUUUAGAACAAACUUUAUACAGAAAUUGAAACUUUAUACAGAAAUUGAACUUCAGAUGUCAACAAACAUCUAAAAUAGUUUUAUUACUAGAUUAUAAUUGUACACAAUAAAAUCAUUACAUUUUCCCUUUAUUUUAUGUAUUCUAUACAAUAAAAAUGACAAACAUGGCAUGUACAUAACAUCCCCAGCCAAAGCUAAAAACCAACAACAACUAAGAAUACAUUAGUAGUAUUUGACAAGCAUGCCUCAUCUUCUCUUUGGAUUCACUAUCUCUUAAAAUACUCUGGUGGUAUUUGAGAUACCAAUUGCUUCAUUCAAAACAAUCUCCUCAUUAAUGCUUCUCUCUGUCAACAAUCUCACUUUGCAACACUUCAUAUGACCUGAAUCAAAAUAAGUAUUAAAAUUAUGACUCACUAUGUUUUUUCAGCGAAAACUUUUACCAAACAUGUGGCAGGCACGAAAUACAUCUAAGAACUGUUUUAGCAUAAAUGCAUGUUAAGACCACAAAAAUUGAUCAUGGAGUCGACUUUUAGGGUUGCAUAACCAUGAAAUGGAUAAUUAAUUGAAGAAUUGAAUAGAAAAAAUAACGAACAAUGAGAUUUCGAGAUAGUGCCAUCAACACCAAAUGAUCAACUAAAAAAAACACAGAUGUUGUAAAGAGUUGAUGAAAAGAAAAAUUUAGACAAGAAAAAAGGAAAAGAAAUUAGAUGUUCAAUCAAUUUGUUUGUGGACCCAAGUUUUGUGCUUUGUGUGAGAAAAUAAAUGAUAAGUUUUAAAAAGUACGUUUUAUUAGGUAAGAGAAAAUUAAGAAAAAUAGCAAAAUAAUACUAACCGUUUGGUAGUGAAAGUGUACAGGUGUAACAAGAUCCUUCAAAGUUGAGCAAAAAUUCAGCUCUGGAUCGGAAUCCUAUAUUUAAUUUUGUCCUAACUAUGUUAAAGUAAAAGAUUCUUAAUUACAAAAUUAUUUUAAAGGCCUAUUGCUGCCUCCUCAUUGAUAAUCCUUAGUAAUAAUGUAAAGUAACCACUAUUAAAGUUCUUCGUGAUGACUCGGUGAGAAUAAAGCAUCUUGUAGAAUUAAUCUCAUGCUGUAGCUAUCGUUCUGUCUUAUCUUUAGUCGAGACGCACUCGCACAGUCGCACUCUUGACUUGAAUUAUGCCAGCUGGCUUUUUCCUAGCUUCGUUUGUGAACCACAUUCUUAUUCGACAAACGAAAUUGCUUAUCUAUGCCAUUACAUCAGCAGCUAGGAAAAAGCUGGCAAUUGAAGACACAGUUGCUUAUAUCAUUAAUCAUCGUGAGUUUGCAACAAAUGAGUUUCUCAAAUCUAAGCUACAUUACUGUUUACCCACUUGAGGAAAAUUGCAAUGGAUAAAGCAACCCAGCUUCACUUUGUUCUGUUUCCUUUCAUGUCGCAGGGGCACAUGAUCCCCAUGAUAGACAUAGCUAGGCUACUAGCACAGCGCGGCGUUAUUAUCACAAUUUUUACCACACCACUUAAUGCAGCCAGGUUCCAUGGAACUCUUGCUCGAGCCAUUGAAUCCGGACUGCAAAUCCACAUAAUCGAAACCCCGUUACCCAAUUUAGAAGAUGGCUUAC
rnacentral:lncRNA from 1 species